ensembl:rRNA 5S_rRNA 5S ribosomal RNA
GUCUACUUCCAUACCACCCUGAAUGCUCCCGAUCUUGUCUGAUCUCCGAAGCUCAGCAGGGGCAGGCCUGGUUAGUACUUGGAUGGGAGACUAAGAAAUAGGAUGGUAAAAAGUUGUCA